rnacentral:other from 1 species
GACGGCCUGGGGUGUGCGAUAACCUGCUAUUUUGAACCUACAUUUAUUUAUCACGGGAUCUCAGAUAACAGACUGGAUGUCCAGCCCUCCUCGAAGGGACUACAAAAGGUUUGUCGAGGGAACCCACCUAGCUUCGCUAGGCGUCAAAACUGCGGGACCGGCAUUCUGGGCGUUA